UGGUCCUGCUGCAGCAUCAGCAGGACCGGCGGAGAUAGGAGGUGAGGUGGUCCUGCUGCAGCAUCAGCAGGACCGGCGGAGAAAGGAGGUGAACCGAAAUGAGCUGGUCCUGCUGCAGCAUCAGCAGGACCAGCGGAGAGAGGAGUUGAGGUGGUCCUGCUGCAGCAUCAGCAGGACCGGUAGAGAAAGGAGGUGAACCGAAAUGAGCUGGUCCUGCUGCAGCAUCAGCAGGACCAGCGGAGAGAGGAGUUGAGGUGGUCCUGCUGCAGCAUCAGCAGGACCAGCGGAGAGAGGAGAUGAGGUGGUCCUGCUUUGUAUCAGCAGCACCAGCGGAGAGAGAAGGUGAGGUGGUCCUGCUGCAGCAUCAGCAGGACCGGCGGAGAAAGGAGGUGAGGUGGUCCCGCUGCAGCAUCAGCAGAGAGAGGAGGUGAGGUGGUCCUGCUGCAGCAUCAGCAGGACCAGCGGAGAGAGGAGUUGAGGGGGUCCUGCUGCAGCAUCAGCAGGACCGGCGGAGAAAGGAGGUGAACAGAAAUGAGCUGGUCCUGCUGCAGCAUCAGCAGGACCAGCGGAGAGAGGAGUUUAGGUGGUGCUGCUGCAGCAUCAGCAGGACCAGCGGAGAGAGGAGUUGAGGUGGUCCUGCUGCAGCAUCAGCAGGACCGGCGGAGAAAGGAGGUGAUCCGAAAUGAGCUGGUCCUGCUUCAACAUCAGCAGGACCAGCGGAAAGAGGAGUCGAGGUGGUCCUGCUGCAGCAUCAGCAGGACCGGCGGAGAGAGGAGUUGAGGUGGUCCUGCUGCAGCAUCAGCAGGACCGGCGGAGAGAGGAGUUGAGGUGGUCCUGCUGCAGCAUCAGCAGGACCGGCGGAGAGAGGAGGUGAGGUGGUCCUGCUGCAGUAUCAGCAGGACCAGCGGAGAGAGGAGUUUAGGUGGUCCUGCUGCAGCAUCAGCAGGACCAGCGGAGAGAGGAGUUGAGGUGGUCCUGCUGCAGCAUCAGCAGGACCAGCGGAGAGAGGAGAUGAGGUGGUCCUGCUUUGUAUCAGCAGCACCAGCGGAGAGAGAAGGUGAGGUGGUCCCGCUGCAGCAUCAGCAGAGAGAGGAGGUGAGGUGGUCCUGCUGCAGCAUCAGCAGGACCGGCGGAGAGAGGAGGUGAGGUGGUCCCGCUGCAGCAUCAGCAGAGAGAGGAGGUGAGGUGGUCCUGCUGCAGCAUCAGCAGGACCGGCGGAGAGAGGAGGUGAUCCGAAAUGAGCUGGUCCUGCUGCAGCAUAAGCAGGACCGGCGGAGAGAGGAGUUGAGGUGGUCCUGCUGCAGCAUCAGCAGGACCGGCGGAGAGAGGAGGUCUUGCUGCAGCAUCAGCAGGACCGGCGGAGAGAGGAGUUGAGGUGGUCCUGCUGCAGCAUCAGCAGGACCGGCAGAGAGAGGAGGUGAGGUGGUCCUGCUGCAGCAUCAGCAGGACCGGCGGAGAUAGGAGGUGAGGUGGUCCUGCUGCAGCAUCAGCAGGACCGGCGGAGAUAGGAGGUGAGGUGGUCCUGCUGCAGCAUCAGCAGGACCGGUAGAGAAAGGAGGUGAACCGAAAUGAGCUGGUCCUGCUGCAGCAUCAGCAGGACCAGCGGAGAGAGGAGAUGAGGUGGU